AGAGUUUGAUCAUGGCUCAGGAUGAACGCUAGCGGCAGGCUUAACACAUGCAAGUCGAGGGGCAGCACAGGUGGCAACACCGGGUGGCGACCGGCGUAAGGGUGCGUAACACGUGAGCAACAUACCCGUAUUUGGAGGAUAACCGGAGGAAACUCUGCCUAAUACUCCAUAAUAUCACUGGACGGCAUCGUUUGGUGAUUAAAGAUUUAUCGGACACGGAUUGGCUCGCGGGACAUUAGCUUGCUGGUGGGGUAACGGCUCACCAAGGCAACGAUGUCUAGGGGUUCUGAGAGGAAGGUCCCCCACACUGGAACUGAGACACGGUCCAGACUCCUACGGGAGGCAGCAGUGAGGAAUAUUGGACAAUGGUCGGAAGACUGAUCCAGCCAUGCCGCGUGAAGGUUACGGUCCUAUGGAUUUUAAACUUCUUUUGUAUGGAAGCAAUAAGGUGCACGUGUGCAUCGAUGAGAGUACCAUACGAAUAAGCAUCGGCUAACUCCGUGCCAGCAGCCGCGGUAAUACGGAGGAUGCAAGCGUUAUCCGGAUUUAUUGGGUUUAAAGGGUGCGUAGGCGGAUUAAUAAGUCAGCGGUGAAACUCACAGGCUCAACCUGUGCCGUGCCGUUGAAACUGUUUAUCUCGAAUGCGGAUGCUGUGGGAGGAAUGUGUAGUGUAGCGGUGAAAUGCAUAGAUAUUACACAGAACACCGAUUGCGAAGGCAUCUCACAAAGCCGUGAUUGACGCUGAGGCACGAAAGUGUGGGGAUCAAACAGGAUUAGAUACCCUGGUAGUCCACUACUGUAAACGAUGAUAACUCGCUGCCGGCGAUAUAUAGUCGGUGGCCCAGCGAAAGCGAUAAGUUAUCCACCUGGGGAGUACGACCGCAAGGUUGAAACUCAAAGGAAUUGACGG
rnacentral:rRNA from 1 species